rnacentral:rRNA from 1 species
CACGUAGGGCGCAAGCGUUGUCCGGAAUUAUUGGGCGUAAAGAGCUCGUAGGCGGUUUGUCGCGUCGGCCGUGAAAACUUGGGGCUUAACCCCAAGCCUGCGGUCGAUACGGGCAGACUUGAGUUCGGCAGGGGGAGACUGGAAUUCCUGGUGUAGCGGUGAAAUGCGCAGAUAUCAGGAGGAACACCGGUGGCGAAGGCGGGUCUCUGGGCCGAUACUGACGCUGAGGAGCGAAAGCGUGGGGAGCGAACAGG